rnacentral:rRNA from 1 species
UACGGGGGGGGCAAGCGUUGUUCGGAAUUACUGGGCGUAAAGGGCUCGUAGGCGGCCAACUAAGUCAGACGUGAAAUCCCCAGGCUUAACCUGGGAACUGCGUCUGAUACUGGAUGGCUUGAUUCGGGAGAGGGAUGCGAAUUCCAGGUGUAGCGGUGAAAUGCGUAGAUAUCUGGAGGAACACCGGUGGCGAAGGCGGCAUCCUGGA